rnacentral:lncRNA from 1 species
UGUGUGUGUACGUGUGUAUAAGAGUGUGAUAUGUAUAUGUGAGUGAUGUGUGUCAAUGUGUGUGUCUCAGGCUGUGUGUGUGUGAGUAUGAGUGAUGUGUGUGAGGGUUUGAGUGGUGUGUGGUGGUUUGUGGGGUGUGUGGUGUGUGUGAGUGUGUGAAGGUGUGAGUGAAUGGUGUGUGGUGGUGUUUGGGGGGUGUAUGAGGGUGUGAGUGGCGUGUGUGUGUGAGGGUGUGAGUGCUGUGUAUGGGGCCUGUGGUGUGUUUGUAUGUGAAGGUGUAAGCAGUGUGGGGAUGUGGUGUGUGUGUGUGUAUGAGUGGGUGUGUGUGAGGGUGUGAGUGGUGUAUGUGUGUGAAGGUGUGAGUGCUGUGUGUGUGCUGUAUGUGGGGUCUGUGGUGUGUUUGUAUGUGAGGGUAUAAGUAGUGUGGGGAUGUGGCGUGUGUGUGUAUAUGAGUGGGUUUGUGUGAGGGUGUGUGUGGUGUGGGGAGUGCCAGUGUGUAUGUAUGUGUGUGAGGUGCGAGUGAAUAGUGUGUGUGGU